rnacentral:lncRNA from 1 species
AAAGAGGCAGGAUCCAUGUAGUACUGGGGAAGGGAAGAAGGUAGGCACUCCGGGUUUAAGAACUGAUCCGGUAACUCUGUGCACAGACCAAGAAGGUUCUCCAUAGUGAAUGUGAUCAGGUGACUGGAGAUACACAUCCACAAACUCAAAGAGUGAGCCCAACAGAGUGAGAAGUGCCGUAAUUUGCAGGUGGCACCUGUAAAGCCCUGCACUGUGUUUGUCCACUGACUCACAGCAUAGGAUCAAGGGCAGUCUGGGA